GAGAGAGAGAGAGAGAGAGAGAGAGAGAGAGAAAGAAAGGGGGAGAGGAGGAGGAGGAGGAUCAGGAGUUCAAGGCCAGCCUUGGCUAUAGGAAACCACCUCAAACAUCAACCACACACAACAGAACAGCAUCAACAAAAACCCCCCUUAUCAGAGCAGGUGGUAGUUCCUGUUUUCCAUACCUUCUAAAUAGUAGCUCUUCUUUCCCCCUUUUCCAUGAGGUAUUUUUGUUAAAUGGAUGAUAGUUUAAACAAAACUAUGUUUAACACUACCUCUGUGUUACACAGGCCUGAUAGUAAGUGUAUUAAUCAAAGACACAGGACACAGGUGACAUGUCCAUUGAUCACGUACAAGCUCCACUCUGGGUGGCCCAACCACCUUCUUGAACUUACAACAGCUAUUGGCAAGCAACUUCAGCUCAGCCCCUUCAGGGGCAAACCUCUGAAACAAGAACUGGUAGCCCUCAAGACACAGAGAACUCUGAACACCCUUCCCUGGUGUGGAAAUUGUAGACUGUGGGGAUGUGGGGGAAAGGGCCCUGGACUCUAGACUUCCAGACUUGGCCUCAUGCUGGAGACAGGAAGAUAAGACAUUGCUGUUUAUUGUUUUAAAUCUACUGCAGCUUUGUCAGUUGCCCUGACUGUGCUCUUUCCAUUCAUCUCCUCUCAUCUCUCCUCCCUUUUUCCCUCCCCUCCCCUCCUCUCUUUUCCUCUCCCCUCCUUUCUUUUUCAUAGACAUGGUACCAUGUAGCCCAAACUUACUUCAAACUCACAAUGUAGCCCAGGAUGACCUUGAAUUUCUGUCUCUGCCUUCUGAGUGUUGGGGUUGUAGGUGUGCAUCACUCCAGGUUUUAUAAAACGGUGGGAAUCAAACUCAGGGCCUCAUUCAUGCUAGCCAUGUACUCCCCCUCCACACACACACACUUAGCUACAGCUCUAGCCCCUGGGAUGGUUUUUCUUUCUUCCUUUCUUCUUUCCUUCCUCCCUUUUAUUUGUUCUUUUCCUUUUUUCUUUCCUUCCUUCCUUUUUUCUUUUUCCCCUUUCUCCAUCUCUUUCCACUUCUCUUCCCUCUUUCUUUUCUUUGUCUUUUUUUUUUUUAAAGACAUAGUCUCACUCUAAAACUGAGGAUAUCUUGGAACUCUGUAGUCUUCUUGCCUCACCCUCCCAAGGGCCAAGAUUGCAGGCAUAAGCUGUCAUACCAAGAUCCCAUUCCUUUUAAAAGAUAUUAUUUUAAUUUUAUGUGUAUGAAUGUUUUAUCUGUGUGUACAUCUGUGGACAUGUGGGUACUUGGUGCCCAAUGAGGCCAGAAGAGGAAGUCCAGUCCCUUGUAACUGGAAUUAACAGACGGUUGUGAGCCACCUAUGUGUGCUGGGAAUCAAAUCCAAGUCCUCUGGAAGAGUCAGUGCUCUUAACUGCUGAGCCAUCAUCUCUCCAGGCCUCAUCUCAUUCCUUUCUUGACCUAAGACAGGUGAUGGGGGAAAGCCUAGACAGUCAGGCAUCUGGUUCAAAUACUAACUUCACCACUGCUUAUAAAUAUUUGUUGAAUAACUAAACAGUCUGCUUCAAUAAUCUUCAGGGGAGGAGGGGAUGCUGAGAGAUGACCUAGGAGCUCUAAUAUGUUCUUUGCACCUAACACGUUUUGCUCAGCCACCACCCCCUUUAUCUUUUUUUGUUUGUUUGUUUCAUUAUUGGUUUUGUUUUUUUGACAGAGCAUCUCAUACAUUCCAAACUGACCUCAAACUCACUGAGUUGCUCAAGAUGACCUUGAACUCCUGAUCAUCCUUCUUCCCUCUCUUAAGCAUGGAGAUUACAGCAGUACCGGAGACCAAAUUCCCAAGACCUCAGGAAUUCUCGGCAGGUCCUCUACUUCUGAGCAGUACUGAAGACAACUUUCUGAUCCCCACAUCACUUGUCUAGGGAAAAGGAGGGGAGAAACUGAGAGUUCAUCUUUGAUUUUUGUCCGACUGUAUGUAACCCUCCAUUCAUAAUAAGACAGAAUGCGAGCUGUCCAUUACCAAUGAGACACUAAACUACCAUGAAGGAGGAGAGACUGAUAUUGGCUCUCAGUUCUUCAUUCAGCUUCUUAAUAGAACUUUACAUUUUUAUUACUUA